UACGUAGGGUGCAAGCGUUGUCCGGAAUUAUUGGGCGUAAAGAGCUCGUAGGCGGUCUGUCGCGUCGGCUGUGAAAUCCCGAGGCUCAACCUCGGGUCUGCAGUCGAUACGGGCAAACUUGAGUGUUGCAGGGGAGACUGGAAUUCCUGGUGUAGCGGUGAAAUGCGCAGAUAUCAGGAGGAACACCGGUGGCGAAGGCGGGUCUCUGGGCCGAUAUCGACGCUGAGGAGCGAAAGCGUGGGGAGCGAACAGG
rnacentral:rRNA from 1 species